UACCCCAGAACUUAAAAUAUUAAUAAGAAUAAUAAUAAAGAAUCUAUUUUCUUUUGUAACAGGACAUCAUUGGAAACAGUAUUUGUUUUACCAAAUCUUUGACUGGAAUGGCAUACUUUCAGACUGCUUUAAGAAAUCAAAGUUCACUUAUAGAGCCAGUGAAAAACCCUCGGGAAAACCUGUUUUCUACUUUUCAUUGCAGUCCUUGUCCAGAGUUUCCUACCUGUGGAAAUUGGAAGCUCUAUGCUAUCCUCAUCAAAAUUAAUAAUAAACGUAAGUAUCAACAUUUUAUACUAUGAACAGUGUGCACAUUAUGGACACUAUAAUACUGUUUGAGUAUAUUUGCUAUUGACUCCAGAUCCUCAAUAAGUUGAAAGUAUUGUUGUGUAAAUCCAGUCUUGGAGGGCAAUUCAGGGACAGAAAUGGCAGUAC
rnacentral:lncRNA from 13 species